rnacentral:rRNA from 1 species
CGACCGGCGCACGGUGAGUAACACGUAUCCAACCUGCCGUCUACUCUUGGCCAGCCUUCUGAAAGGAAGAUUAAUCCAGGAUGGGAUCAUGAGUUCACAUGUCCGCAUGAUUAAAGGUUUACCGGUGUAAGAUGGGGAUGCGUUCCAUUAGAUAGUAGGCGGGGUAACGGCCCACCUAGUCUUCGAUGGAUAGGGGUUCUGAGAGGAAGGUCCCCCACAUUGGAACUGAGACACGGUCCAA